rnacentral:tRNA from 1 species
GCGCAUUUGGGAACCAAGUGGGUCGAUUGAAAAGUGAGGCGGAAACAGGCAGCAUAAGCCAAGGUUUACGGGCAUUUUCGCCGACCCGUCAUUAGCCUUCGUAAUGAUGGGGUCACAGGUUCGAGUCCUGUAAGCGCACCA